AUCCAAAUGGGGAGUCCCGAACAGGACGAAAUGUUCAUCCUGUAU
rnacentral:hammerhead_ribozyme from 1 species